GUCAGGUGGCUGGAGAUAGGACAAGAGGAAAUGGCCUCAAGUUGUGGCAGGGGAGGUUUAGAUUGGAUAUUAGGAAAAAUUUCUUUACUGAAAGGGUUGUCAGGCAUUUUGGGCAUUCUUAGCUCUUAGUAACUGGGUUAGCUAGUAUAAGGAAGCAAGAUUAAUUUUUAUUAGCUUGAAGUAUCAUAUUUUAUUCAAGUGAUAAGAAAUAUCAUAAUACAUUAUGCAUCUGCCAGUUAUAGUCCAUUGUAGUUGGUUUCAAAACCUAAGCAAUAAAUGAGUAAGACAGUUUAUCUAGUUAAACUGAAAAAAACAGCAUUCCACACAACCAGUACUGGAGAUGUCAACCGUAUAGUAAUUCCAGCAUUACCUUGUUAUGGCUUUCCAGAAAGUUAUGAAGU